CCGCCAGAAACGCGAGGGAGGGGGGGUCCUGGCCAUGGCCGUCGUGGCCAUGGGAGCUGCUUCUGAGGCUGCUCCCUCGUUACCCUGUUUAAAUUUUUUGCACAUAUUUUCUAUUUUGUUUUGAUGUAAAUAUUAUCAGUGUUAAUUUAUUAGUAUUAAAUCUGUGCUACAUUUAUAUAGAUGGAUGACAACAGCAAGACUCGAGAUACGCUGAUAGUGCAAGCUGCUGGUUUGGUUGCUGUUUUGUGUGCAUAUAUGGCCACUAUAACUACAAGGGCUAGAAUUAGAAAUUAUCGUGCUCCAGUCCGUUAUGUUAUGCUUGAGAGAGACAUAGCUAGGUUGUCCAAUCUACGUUUUACUAUGAUACCAAUGAUAUAAAUUGCCAUGACCUACUAAGGAUGAAUAGGGCCCCAUUUUAUAACUUGUGUGCCUUGUUCCGUGACCGAAAGUUGCUGGAAGACAGCAUUCAUACCCCGUAUUUUAAGGUAAUAUGUUACCAUUUAGAAUUUUAUGGACAUGCUGGAUAACCAAAUUUUACAAAAUAUACCUCACCUCUUUUCCUAGGAUUGUGUUGGUGCAAUUGAUGGCACCCAUGUGCUUGCCAAGGUACCCGCUGCUAUUGCUUCGGCAUUUAGGGGAGUGAUGGCUGAGAUGGGGGCUGAUGGUGGGCAUGGUGGUGGGAAUCACCCAUUGCGUUGGACAUCUCCAAUGUCUGGUUUCAUGUUACGUCGAUUUGUAGAGCUCAUUGCUAGUGGAGUGAAGACUGACAAAGGCUUUAAGGAGGUGCACUUAAACCAGGUGGCUAAGAAUUGUAGUGACCACUUUGGUCUUGCAAUAACCGGGACCCAAGUCUACAACCACCUCCGCAAGUCGCGUGCUAGGUGGGUGAAGAUUAGUAAGCUUUGAGACAUUAGUGGGUCACUUUGGGAUGAUACUAACUGUGUCAUAUCACUGAAGGAAGAGCACUAUCUGGGCCAUAUCAAGGACCAUCCCAAAGAUGUUGAGUACCUCAGUGUGCCUUUAGAGAACUAUGUUCAAAUGCUUGCUAUCUUUGGGACUGGUAUUGCUACAGGGAGGUAUGCAAUGACAUCUAAUGAGGCUCUUGGGGUUGCUUCAAUGGUGGGAACCUCCCCAUCGGUUGUCAACAUUGAAGGUUCUGGUUUUGAAUUUGUUGUUGAUGGGAAUGAACCUGACUCGAGUGCUACUGCUGCUGCUCAUGGGGAAGCUGCUGUUGCUCAUUCCACUGGUAAAAGGAAGAGGGCUAGCCUCAUGAGCGAAGAAGAAGUUUUGGUCAUGACCAACAUGUCUGAAGCAGUCCGUGAAGUUGCUAAUGCUAUCAAGUCCACUACAGAGGCACAUCCUGAACUUUAUGAUGCUGUGAUGGAGCUCCCUGGUUUUAGUGAGGAUGAUCUAUUGAUUAUCUUGGAUUAUCUCAAUGAGAGUGCCAACAGGGCUAGGAGCCACUCAUUCGUGCAGAUGACGGAGACUCGCCGCACUCGUUGGGUCAUUCACCACCUUUCCAAGCUCAAGGAUGAUGUGCCCAAGGGUGGAGUGUGAGCAAAUCUUUGCUGAUUAACUAGUUGACCAUAUUUUAUUCCAUUUGGUCAGAAAAACAAUGCCCCUAUAUAUAUGUGAUGUAUGGAAUGUAACUUAAAUCUUAUGUGAUGCUUAUGCGAUGUACUGGAUUAAUA